rnacentral:rRNA from 1 species
CAUUCAAUAAGCGGAGGAAAAGAAACCAACAGGGAUUGCCCUAGUAACGGCGAGUGAAGCGGCAACAGCUCAAAUUUGAAAUCUGGCUCCUUUGGGGUCCGAGUUGUAAUUUGCAGAGGGAGCUUUUGGCGUCGGUCGUGGUCUAAGUUCCUUGGAACAGGACGUCACAGAGGGUGAGAAUCCCGUACGUGGCCGCCGGCCUUCGCCUUGUAAAGCCCCUUCGACGAGUCGAGUUGUUUGGGAAUGCAGCUCUAAAUGGGAGGUAAAUUUCUUCUAAAGCUAAAUACCCGCCAGAGACCGAUAGCGCACAAGUAGAGUGAUCGAAAGAUGAAAAGCACUUUGGAAAGAGAGUGAAAAAGCACGUGAAAUUGUUGAAAGGGAAGCGCUUGCGGCCAGACGUGCCCGCGGUUGAUCAUCCAGGCUCCAGCCUGGUGCACUCCUCCGCGGGCAGGCCAGCAUCAGUUCGGGCGGUCGGAUAAAGGCCUCUAUCACGUACCACCCCUCGGGGUGGCCUUAUAGGGGAGGCGCAACACGGCCAGCCCGGACUGAGGUUCCGCGCAUCUGCUAGGAUGCUGGCGUAAUGGCAGCAAGCGGCCCGUCUUGAAACACGGACCAAGGAGUCUAACAUCUAUGCGAGUGUUUGGGUGUCAAGCCCGAGCGCGCAAUGAAAGUGAACGGAGGUGGGAACCCUUACCGGUGCACCAUCGACCGAUCCUGAUGUCUUCGGAUGGAUUUGAGUAAGAGCAUAGCUGUUGGGACCCGAAAGAUGGUGAACUAUGCCUGAAUAGGGUGAAGCCAGAGGAAACUCUGGUGGAGGCUCGCAGCGGUUCUGACGUGCAAAUCGAUCGUCAAAUUUGGGCAUAGGGGCGAAAGA